rnacentral:rRNA from 1 species
AACGAACGCUGGCGGCAUGCCUAACACAUGCAAGUCGAACGAUCCCUUCGGGGUUAGUGGCGCACGGGUGCGUAACGCGUGGGAACCUGCCCUUAGGUUCGGAAUAACUCAGAGAAAUUUGAGCUAAUACCGGAUAAUGUCUUCGGACCAAAGAUUUAUCGCCUUUGGAUGGGCCCGCGUUGGAUUAGCUAGUUGGUGGGGUAAAGGCCUACCAAGGCGACGAUCCAUAGCUGGUCUGAGAGGAUGAUCAGCCACACUGGGACUGAGACACGGCCCAGACUCCUACGGGAGGCAGCAGUGGGGAAUAUUGGACACUGGGCGAAAGCCUGAUCCAGCAAUGCCGCGUGAGUGAUGAAGGCCUUAGGGUUGUAAAGCUCUUUUACCCGGGAUGAUAAUGACAGUACCGGGAGAAUAAGCCCCGGCUAACUCCGUG